CUUGUAACCACUGUGUCUGUCUCUGUAUCUGUCUGUCUGUCUGUCUCUCUCUCUCUCUGGUAGUGAACAAUGAUGAUUCCUCAUAUUUUUUGUAGGUUGGUGGUAGUAGCAGUGCUUAUGGAGCUUAUGGAGGUUAUUCUUCAGGACGUGGUGGCCCUUCUGGGUUAUCCAGCCAUACCCCUGUUUCCCGGCGCAAAAACUAUGGGUACUAAAAUUUGGUGAUUGCUGAGAUUUAUGAAGCCUGAAGCCAGCCUACUGCCUACUUUGAUGAAGCCUGCCUAAACCGGAAGACCAGAUGAACCAGGGUUUGACAAACUCAUGGCCCACCCUGAUGCUACUACCUAGAGGGACCAAAUUUAUGUGGAGAUCUUAUUAUUUACUUUGAAAUUUGCCAUGUCCAUGACACCAAAAAUACCAAACUCUAUAAUAUGUGCUCCCAAGAACCUAGCUAGCUGGCAUGCCUGUUGCUGCCUUUUUAUUUCCUUUUCUUUGUUGUCUUUUCUGCUUUCCAGUUUGCAUUUGUUCAGAGGUUCAAAACCAUGUAGCUUCUUCCAUCCUUUGGCGGUUGUACUAAGAGUGUGGGGUUUGUUUAUCUAACAUUUGUCUUCUGUGCUCUCUUAAUCCUCUGGUUGUCUCAAUUUAUGAUUGGGAUCUUAUCCUCAACUUGGCCAAUUACCCUGAAAAGUAGUGCAGAAGACAUAUAAUCUGGAAUGCAGGCAUAUUUAUUAUUAACAUCUAAAGCAGCUCAAUGGUCUUUUGAGUCUUUCUAAUGUUCCUUAAUCAAGAAGUCCAUUGAUAUAUACAUAAAUUUAUUGAGGGCUAGCUUCUUGAGAACGUGUUUACUCAGAACAUAAAAAGUUAUUUUAGUUGUUUUCCUCAGCUUAAACUGAUUACCUGAGAGAAAUGGACACUUAGAAAUAGCAUUUCCUUUAAUCAUGUAAUAUGCAUUACGGUAUAAUGUAGAACUGGCGGUGUCACACACUAACUUAAUGAUGCAGAGAAUGGAUGUAACAUGGCAUCUACGGUUAGGGUUUGACUCCCCAACGGUGGUUUUCGCUGAUGAAUAUAUGUUGCAAUUUUUAGGAAAAUUGCUAGUUUAUAGUAUAAUGUAUAAUGCUGCCAAUGGAUUUCUUAAUUAAAGGACGUUAUAAGCAUGGGAAAGGACUGUGUUGGUGUCGUCGGCUUCAGUUUUUGGGUUUUAUCCUGCACAAAGACCUCACAUGAAAGGUAAGAGCUUAUUGUUUUGAUGGUUGCCUGUAACUUGAGAGAAUGAAGGAGCUUAUCAAGGUGUUUGAAACACGCUAGUUCUGAUUAUCUUUGUUGUUAAAACUGAUGUAGGUUUUUUCUGGGCACAUACGUGCUACUCUGGAGACUUGAAGAAUUCGGGCAUCUUAUGUGUACAAUCAUUGUUGUGGCAGUAGCAUGCACUGUGUUUUAAUAUGCUUGUAUAAAACAAUUUGAUGAAGUUGUUGAAUGUGAAAUUUUACUGCUGUUACAAUAGAAACUUAUCUACAGCGUGAUUGGCCUGUUAGAAAAUUAGACAAAA